GGCGCCCGCCCAUUGGCCGCCGCGCGUCACGUGGCGCGCGCCCGCCGUUUAAACACUUCUCCUUCGCCCCCGCCGGCUUUUUUCCGGCUUUCCUCCCUCGAAAUGCAAGAGUGACAUCGCGAUGCAUCGACUCCCAAACUGAAAUGGGAGGAUCCGGUAGAGAAAGUCGUUUCGUGCCAGUCUGGGGAAAUGGAUGACAUCCUAUGCGACUGAUGGGAGUCAGUGGACUGGUCCAUAGAGAAUCUUCGGCCAGCUUGAAUGAGUAUGGCACUGCAGCGACAUUCAACACUGGUGAAUGUACUGAGACAAACCCAAGACCAUGAGCGCAACUAUGUGAUGAAGACUAGUUUGCCGGGAAGAAAUCCUAGACACUCAGCACCUGUACUGAGGCAAAGAGUAAGUGGCCCGAGCAAUCCUGAGACAUCAGAACCUCUAUCUGCCCACGAGCACACACUUACUUCAGAGACCGCCUGAGUUGCCUCUUCAUGCUCAUAGUUGAGCUGCCAGGAAGAAACCUGAGUCUGCCAGCGCCUCCUCAUGAGGCAAGGGUGAACUGCAAGAAGAAGCCUGAGAUCGUCAUGCCACCUCCUUCUGACCAGUAAGCUGCUGGGACAAGACCGAGAUAUGCCAGCAUCGUUGUACAUGCACUCUAAUGGUGAGGGACAGCAUCCAUCUGCGGUCCUGGACUUUCUUACCACUGUAAAUAAAAUAUAUCACGUAAGUUCACCCAA